UUCGUUGGCUUUGGGAAGGCGCUUCCUCGUAUUAUUUAUAUUUCAGUUUAUUAUGCAAUAUAUUUCCAACUUAUACGACCACAUGAGGAUCAUGCGCAUGCGACAAGUUUGCUCCACAUUUUGACUCUGCGCCGCCGUGCUUCACCCUCGCCCCUCGCCUCGUCACUAAGGAGUCAUCGCCAUUAGCAUCAUCGGAAUGUCGUUGGAACCGUUGCAAGACGUUUGAACGGUCUCCGCGCUCGCUCGUCCAUUUGUGAACAAAGGAGGCCGUGAUUUUGCGUCGUAUGGGCGGCUGCAGUGUUGCGUCCCGUCAGGCCAUGAAAGAAGGAAGGAGGAUAUGAUUUUGCGUCGUAAUGGGUUUUUGUUGUUUGUUCGGAGCAGCGGCUGCAGUGUUGCGUCCCGUCAGGCUCUACUUUGUUGAACACUAAGCUGGGUGAACCAACUUUGUUGUUGCUAUGACCGUAUUACUCAGUUUUACUCACUUGUGUUUGAACGUUACUAAUUUGCGAUUGCACGCCCUAUUUCAGACACAUAUCUCUCCAGCGCUUCAGAGACGUCGCUGGCGCCGAAAUUCUAGCUGUUUCAGCGUGGGUCGCCAGAAGAACAGCAGAUCAUUGACUGUCAAUUGUGCGACGCGACACUAUGUGGCACGAAGGAUGUGUACGUGUGAAAUACGUAACUACUGUGUGCGCGGGAUGUUUUGUAUGAUUGUGUCGACACUGGAUACCACUUUCAAGGUAUGCAUUUUCGGAAUAAAGUAGAUACAUAUAUAAUUUUGCAGUACUUCAUUUCGUGUAUUUUAUGCGUGUUGCGAGUAAGUGAACAUAUGCACUCUUAAAAAUGAACUUCACCGCAUAGCAUGCUCCUAGCCGACCAUCAACUCGAAUGAUAUCGCUAUGUGACCUGAUUUGUUCAAAACGGUAGGCGCACGGCUUUUUUGUGAUACUUACGCUGUUCAUAAUUGUCACAAAAAUGGCGUACACCUCCCGUUUUCAGGCAGAUAACGAUAUUCGAGAUGAUGAUUGGCCAGGAGUGUGCUAUGCGGUGAAGUUCAUUUCUAAGAGAGUGGAGUCACAGGAAGUCUACAAAAAGUCUUCACAUCAUACGCGGGAUGGUGUUACCAGAAUUAUGUUGACAGUACACAGAAAGAGAACAAAAAAUUCCACACCUAUUCUGUAGCCAAAUGUCUACAGAAAGUUGAGGGCCAUAAGUCAACAAGAAGUAAACAUAUGAUGUAAACAUGAAAGCAACACAAACUCUGAAGAAUGUUUGUUUUCCAUGUUGACCUUGGUCUGUAGAAAGUAAACAGAAACUAAACACCCAU